rnacentral:lncRNA from 1 species
UGAACACGCAAUAAUUCCACCAGAGCCGUCUGGUAUGUGGUGUCGAUACGGGAAUAAUCCUUUCAUUUUCAGCUUAGCCAAAAAAGAACCUGAUGAUAAACAGAAGGUUAGCAAAAAAAAAAACCAAAAGAAUGAUCAAUCAUGAGCCUUAUAAUAAAGUACACUAAUCACUAUAUUUUUCUAGAAACCUCAACGAGCAGAUUAAGUAUUCUCCAACUCCUCUACGGCCUGCAUAUUAAAGGCAAAGCGAAUCAAAUUAGUACGUAGAAGGACUGACUACCCUUAACCCCUUCAUGGCGGGUUUAACUAAACAAAUCCACCGUAGGCACACACGUACAGUACAGUUGGGGCUAAGGCAUGUUUGGAUACAGGCUCAUAAAGUUUAGUACCUGUCAUAUCGGAUGUUUGAUACUAAUUAGAAGUAUCAAAUAUAGUCUAAUUAUAAAACUAAUUACACAGAUGGAGUCUAAUUCGCAAGACGAAUCUAUUAAGCCUAAUUAGUCCAUGAUUUGACAAUGUGGUGCUACAGUAACCAUUUGCUAAUGAUGGAUUAAUUAGGCUUAAUAGAUUCGUCUCGCGAAUUAGUAUAGGGGUUCUGCAGUUAGUUUUAUAAUUAGCUCAUGUUUAGUUCUCCUAAUUAGCGUCCGAACAUCCGAUGUGACCCCUCCUAAAAUUUAGUACCCCGCAUCCAAACACCCCCAAAAAGAAAGUCCUGGCUAAGCCAUCCUGGGCGUAUAGAGUACUCCCUCCAUUUCAAAUUGUAGGUCAUUUUAAUUUUUCUAGAUGCAUAAAUUUUAUUAUGCAUCUAGACAUACC